GGCUGGAUGGCACAGUUGGUUAGGCGCUGGCUUUAUACGUCCGAGUUUGCGGGUUCGAUCCCCGCUCCAGUCA